UACGAAGGGUGCUAGCGUUGCUCGGAAUCACUGGGCGUAAAGGGUGCGUAGGCGGGUCUUUAAGUCAGGGGUGAAAUCCUGGAGCUCAACUCCAGAACUGCCUUUGAUACUGAAGAUCUUGAGUUCGGGAGAGGUGAGUGGAACUGCGAGUGUAGAGGUGAAAUUCGUAGAUAUUCGCAAGAACACCAGUGGCGAAGGCGGCUCACUGGCCCGAUACUGACGCUGAGGCACGAAAGCGUGGGGAGCGAACAGG
rnacentral:rRNA from 1 species